rnacentral:rRNA from 1 species
AUGAGCCAUGUCGUCCAGAUCGUGUCCCGGCGCAUGGUCCUGCCGGAGCCGACGCCUUGGCUGCCGUCGGAGCCAGAGACGACCAUCGACCUGACGCCAUGGGACCUCCGGAUGAUCACCGUGGAGUACACCCAGACGGGCGUCCUCCUGCCCAAGCCCCCCGCCACGGGAGAGCACGGUCACCACGCCCCUGUCGUCGAACGCCUCACGUCGUCCUUCGCGCGCGCGCUGGGCCGCUUCUACCCCUACGCCGGCCGCCUUGUCGUCGCGCCGGGCGGGGAGGGUGGGAGCAUCUCCGUAUCGCUCCGCUGCAGCAUGGAGGGCGCCGAGUUCGUCCACGCCGUGGCUCCCGGCGUCACCGUGGCCGACGUCGUCGCGCCGCUGUACACCCCCGUGGCGGUCCGGUCCUUCUUCCCCCUCGACGGGCUGUUCGGCGUGGACACCGUGGCGGGCUCCCACCCGGUCCUGACCGCGCAGGUCACCGAGCUCGACGACGGUGUCUUUGUCGCCAUGUCGCUCAACCACGUGGUCGGUGACGGGACGGCCUUCUGGCAUUUCUUCAACACCUGGUCUGAGAUCAGCCGUCGUGAUACUGACGAUGCCGCCAUCUCCUCGCCGCUGCCGGUGCACCGCAGGUGGUUCCUUGAUGGCUGCCGUGUCCCGAUCCCUCUGCCAUUCGCCAAACUGGAGGAUAUCGUCAGCUAUGGGCACCCAUCAUCGGUGCAGCCGCAGGACUGCUUCCUCCAUUUCUCCGCGGAGAGCGUAAAGAAGCUCAAAGCGAAGGCGAACGCCGAGGCGUCCGGCACCGGCAGCACCACCAUCUCCUCCUUGCAGGCCCUGCUGGCGCACCUGUGGGUCGCGGUGAGCCGAGCCAGGAGGCUGGCGGCCUGGCGCCGGACCAGAGCACAACGUACGUCCUCCUUGUCGGAUCCCGGGGCCGCGUGA